rnacentral:rRNA from 1 species
UACGUAGGGUGCGAGCGUUGUCCGGAAUUAUUGGGCGUAAAGGGCUCGUAGGCGGUCCGUCGCGUCGGGAGUGAAAAACUCGGAGCUUAACUCCGAGCCUGCUUCCGAUACGGGCAGACUAGAGGUAGGCAGGGGAGAGCGGAACUCCUGGUGUAGCGGUGAAAAUGCGUAGAGAUCCGGAGGAACACCGAAGGCGAAGGCAGUCUCCUGGCAAGUUACUGACGCUCAGGUGCGAAAAGCUAGGGGGAGCGAACAGG